rnacentral:rRNA from 1 species
GACGAACGCUGGCGGCGUGCUUAAUACAUGCAAGUCGAACGGAAAGGCCCUGCUUUUGUGGGGUGCUCGAGUGGCGAACGGGUGAGUAACACGUGAGUAACCUGCCCUUAUCUUUGGGAUAACUCUACGAAACUGGGGCGCAUAUCGGAUAGGAGCUCCUGCUGCAUGGUGGGGGUUGGUAAGUUUCGGCGGUUGGGGCUGGUCUGGCGGGUUAUCAGCUUGUUGGUGGGGUAGUGGCUUACCAAGGGUUCGAAGGAUAGGCGGCAUGGGAGGGGGACCGGCCUCAUUGGGACUGAGAUAGGCCCCAGACUGCUACGGGCGGCAGCGGUGGGGAGUAUUGCAGAAUGGGCGGGAGCCUGAUGCAGCAACGCCGGGUGCGGGAUGACGGCCUUCGGGUUAUAAACCGCUUUCGCCUGUGACGAAGCGGGAGUGACGGUAAUGGGUAAAGAAGCACCGGCUAACUACGUG